GUUGGCUGUGGGUUUGUCAUAGAUGGCUUUUAUUACAUUAAGGGAGCUUAUAGCUUCAUUGCACUGUGUGUGGCAUUUGGGUCCUGUUUGACAGCAAUGACUGCCUUUCUGUUUAGUGUCUGUGUGCUAUGAAGAUUGCACACAGGGGUCCAGAUGCAUCCUGUUUUGAGAAUGUUAAUGGAUACACCAGCUGCUGCUUUGGAUUUCACCCAUUGGUGGUAGUGGACCCGCUGUUUGGAAUGCAGACAAUUUAAGUGAAGACAUAUCCAUAUAUGUGGCUCUGUUACAAUGGUGAAAUCUACAACCAUAAGAAGCCAAAAAUGUGAGUAUGACAUACAAAGAGAAAUACAUCAAGGACUUUUCAUCCUCAUAGUUUGCCAGUGAUGCUGGAGAGUGUCAGAAUUGGUGCAGCACCAGUUUGAAUUUGAAUACCAGACCAAAGUGGAUGGUGAGAUAAUCCUUCAUCUUUAUGACAAAGGAGGAAUUGAGCAAACAAUUUGUACGUUGGUUGGUGUGUUUGCAUUUGUUUUACUGGAUUCUGCCAAUAAGAAAGUGUCCCUGGACAGAGAUACAUAAGGAGUCAGACCUUUGUUUAAAGCAGUGACAGAAGAUGGAUUUUUGGCUGUGCGUUCAGAAGCUAAAGUUCUGGAGGCCACAAGUCCAAAAUCAAGGUGUGGGCAGAAAUGCGCUCCCUCUGCAGACUCCUGGGGAGGAUGCUUGUUUCUUCCAGCUCUGCGACUGUGGUGCCUGCAGCCAUUGGAACCAGCUCUGCACGGCUCAGACCUGGGUGAUGAGGACACAGCUUUGCAGGUGGGCAGCCACAUCCCCAGGGGGAGACUGUGGGCCUGUGGCAGGGUAGGGGCAACCAGUGCAGGGGCUCCCCAUUGUUGCCCCUGAGCUCCUGGGGCUUGUGGAGAAAGACAG
rnacentral:lncRNA from 1 species